rnacentral:lncRNA from 1 species
AUUUGUAUUUGACUGACAUUUUAUUAGAUAUGAUUUAAUUCCAGGAUCAAGGACAUUAAAUAUGAUUUAAUUCAAGGAUCAAGAACAGAUUGGUGACAGCUUUAUAAAGUCUGUGGCAAAUAUCACAGGGGAUAACAUAUACACUAAAUGACAUAGUCCAUAGUUUUCAUUUGUCUUAGUUUGUUUUAUUUGUAACACACCUACACCUUUG